AUGCUCAUGUUGGUAGAGAAGCAAACUUGGUUUGAUAGCAUCUAUAAAGUAAGAGAAAAGUGGGAUGAAUGUUAUAUGAGGGAUGCUUUCACCUUAGGGAUGCGAAGCACGCAACUAAGCGAGAGCCUAAACAAUGACUUGAAACUCCACCUGAAAUCAGACCUUGACCUUGUUCGUUUUUUCAAGCAUUUUAAAAGGGUUGUGAAAGGGAAACGAGACAAUGAGUUGAAUUUGGAGUAUGAGUCCAGAGAGAAACUACCUAGAAUAAAAAUAACUACUGGGAGCAUUGAGAAUGAUUUUCAUGGUUAUGGAUGUAUU
rnacentral:rRNA from 1 species